rnacentral:rRNA from 1 species
GAUGAACGCUGGCGGCGUGCUUAACACAUGCAAGUCGAACGAAGCACUUUAUUUGAUUUCCUUCGGGACUGAUUAUUUUGUGACUGAGUGGCGGACGGGUGAGUAACGCGUGGGUAACCUGCCUUGUACAGGGGGAUAACAGUUGGAAACGGCUGCUAAUACCGCAUAAGCGCACGGCAUCGCAUGAUGCAGUGGGAAAAACUCCGGUGGUAUAAGAUGGACCCGCGUUGGAUUAGCUAGUUGGUGAGGUAACGGCCCACCAAGGCGACGAUCCAUAGCCGACCUGGGAGGGGGACCGGCCACAUUGGGACUGAGACACGGCCCAAACUCCUACGGGAGGCAGCAGUGGGGAAUAUUGCACAAUGGGCGAAAGCCUGAUGCAGCGACGCCGCGUGAGCGAAGAAGUAUUUCGGUAUGUAAAGCUCUAUCAGCAGGGAAGAUAAUGACGGUACCUGACUAAGAAGCACCGGCUAAAUACGUG